rnacentral:rRNA from 1 species
UACGUAGGGUGCAAGCGUUAAUCGGAAUUACUGGGCGUAAAGCGUGCGCAGGCGGUUAUGCAAGACAGAGGUGAAAUCCCCCGGGCGUCAACCUGGGAACUGCCUUUGUGACUGCAUGACUAGAGUACGGUAGAGGGGGAUGGAAUUCCGCGUGUAGCAGUGAAAUGCGUAGAUAUGCGGAGGAACACCGAUGGCGAAGGCAAUCCCCUGGACCUGUACUGACGCUCAUGCACGAAAGCGUGGGGAGCAAACAGG